UUGAAGAUUAUGUGCGACUUUAGUCGACCAAGAUUUUCUUUGGUUGACUACAGCCCUAACCGAUAUAUACCUUAACCCUAGUGUGGUUUAAGUUUCCACUGCAGACAGUGCUCUUAAUGUUGGCAGGGUUGUUACAUUCUGGUUUUAGCCGCAUCAACCACGAAAGUAGCGUGACAUCAUAUCUAAUGCGACACAAGAAACAUAUCUCAGGAAACACUAUAUGGCUAUUACAAAGAGACAAGCUUCGUUUGAGAAAAGGCUCAAGGCGACGAAGAAGACAACCACCUGUGGGCGAGACAACAAAGAUGGCACAAGAGGAUCACGCACCUGUUCUAAAGUCCUGCAACAGACUAAUAGUUUGGGCUUUCAACCAAGCCAACAAGUGGUGGGAUGUGAUUGUGCUUGGGUGGGUGCAGAAUUUCAGGAUGUCCAAAUGAAUAUUUCUGCACUCGUGUAACAAGCUAUGUCCAGCGAUGGAGAAGAGAGUGUGACAGUUCUGUGAGCUGCAAGCAUGUUGUUGGUUCCAGAUCACACUCAUUUUCUAGAAUGAGAAAAACUUAAAGAAAUGGCAGCCUACAUUGACAACAGCUGGGGGCCUCCACAGUGUAUUGGUGCAAUUGAUGGGUCACACAUACCCAUUUUGGCACCGCAGAAGUACCAGUGUGACAACUUCAAUCGUAAAGGCUGGCAUUCCAUCAUCCUUCAAGAAGUUGUAGAUGGAAAAGGACUGUUGUGGAGUGUAUAUUCAGGAAUGUUUGGGAGUUUGCACAAUGCUCGAGCUCUAAUACUGUCAACAUUUACCCCUUUUCCACCAAAUCAGCUUGGUGCUAUCUGGUUAACUAGCCUGCAUUACCCCAUUGUUGAGCAAAACCAUUAUAAUCAAGGAUGUGUCAUCAGCAGAGGGCCUUGCACAAUGGACAAUGGAAGUAAACAAUGGUAGCAAAAUGGCAGAUUACAUUAAUUACCUGGAAGCUUUUGUUCUGUUAGAACACAUUUGUUUUUAGAUAGAUACACUUUAUUAUCCACCUCAGUGGAAAUUUGUCUUUGGUGUCUUUCAAACAGUAAAAGGACAUACAAACACAUAACAUGUACAAAUAUACAAAUACUAUGUUGUUGUUUUUUUACCCAAAAAACAAGCAUAGACCAACUGUUAAUGAGACUACUGCACACUUUUUGAUGAUUUCUCACUUGACUUCCCCAUUGCUGCCUUCUCCAUCCUCUCAUUCCAACCUGUAGAAUAUAACACACCCAGUGAUGUCACUAUGACUCGCACUUCAAGGCCAAGAAAACCCUGUUGAGAAUCAAGUUUUUGGGUUCUGAACCAAUUUUAUUUUGGUCAAAAUGCUCUGGAUGUUUCAAAUUUAGUUGCAGGAACAAGAACGCAAACCGUUCCAUGUUGGUGGAAAAGGCGUAAUUGUGGGAGCUGUUUAAACCUGGUAGCUUUUUCUCAACAUUGGUGGAUUGAAUUUUUGCUAUUACAUCCUAGUGGAUUCUGCCUUUCUCUUGCAGAAAUGGCUUCUGAAGCCAUUCCCUGAUAUUGGGUGGCUGACAGUAUAACAACAGAUGUACAAUAAAAAAAGUGCAGAGCACUGAUACCUGGAAAAAUC